AUAGCAAGCCUUCAUACACAGCAAGCUUAGGGAGUGUGUGCUGCCUUGGGCAAAGCACGCUGCCCCUUUGACAGCGAAUGCUGUCAGGUGGGCGACGUGCCGCCAUCAUUUGGGUCGUCCAGUUUUUGCACCACCAUCAUGUUGCCAUCAUCACGUAUCCAUCAGUCACAUUUGUUAGUCAUCAUGUCACGUCUAUUAGUCAUCGCAUCACAUCUGUUAGUCAUCGCAACGCAUCAAGUCACUUUUACUUUCCUCUCUCCUCAUAAAAUUUUAUCACUUGGUGUAAAUCUAACAGUCCACAUUUUCUAUAAAUAGGGACACCUCUGUACCAUUUCCUCACCAAUCCAACUUCAUUCUUUCAUCCACCAAAGAGUUUUAAAGAGAGAGAGUGAG
rnacentral:lncRNA from 1 species